rnacentral:tRNA from 1 species
GGGCUUGUGGUGGAACGGUAUACACGUUAGUCUUAGAAACUAAUGCCUUUUAGGAUUGAGAGUUCAAGUCUCUCCAGGCCCACCA